rnacentral:lncRNA from 1 species
CAUGGAAGAAGUCAUCACAAAUAUAAUUAAAGAGCAAGAAAAUAUCAAUAUAACGUUACAAUCCAAACUCCCGUAUUGAAUUGAUGAAAAGAUGAUGAAAUUCUGUAUCUUGUAGCCUGCAAUGCUCUCCUAAAGCUUUCAAGGUCAAAAGUCCCUUCAAAAAUAUUUUUUUGUGUAUUUAUACCAUGUACGAGAGGGCCCGGGCGAAACUACCAUUUUCAAGUUGAAAUGGGAAAAUACUCUGAGAAAAUUGUACAGGCGCGCCGCGCCAUGCGCCGCCUCAUGUGGGGGCGUUAGUGGAAAAGUUCAGAGAGCAGAUUCUGACAGGGUAGUGGCAUGACAGUAUACUUUUUACAGAGUAAUUCAUUUUCUUCAAAUUUUGAUAUCCAGACUUUACUCUCGAUCUCCGAACGCGAUUCCGAUUUAAUCUCUUGGGCUUUUACUCAGACUUCAAAGCUCCAACUUGUUAGGUUUAGCUCCCGAUUAUCUUUUUAACUAGGAAUCACUUCUUGUAAGGUAUAAAACACAUAAUAAGUGCAGUUCACUAUCAUUCAAGCUCAAACACAAAUAAAAUGCAGUAAUUAGAGUGCAAAUUACGACUAAAAUAUGGGAUUCUAGCCUACCAUCAUACGAUUUGAAUGAUUCCUAUUAUACAUCCAUCUACGAUCCCCAAAUUCCAUCUACACAAACAAAUAUAAUUGCUAAACUUCUCUAAACUUCACUAUUAUCUUCAUUUCAUAAGUAAGAAAUUAGAUUUUUAAAACAAAAGUUACGUAAUUAAAUAUGCUCAUAAUUUUUCACUCUAUCCCCAAUCCCAACAAACUUUCUUGAUGCUUUUUCAACAAACCUUAAUCCAAAAUAUAAUUAAGGUGAUAUUAUGUACAUUUUUCUUAUUGCAUAAUAAUUAAUAAAAUGCCAUAUCUUUGCAAGUCUUAGAAUUGCAUAUUUAGAGCUUUAGUUAUAAUGAUUUCUCAAGAUGUCAACUUAGAUAAAGGAAAGGGCAUCAUUUUUCGUCGUUAAUUAUUAAGGAGUAGAUUUCUUGAUCAAUACCAUAUACAAAUUAAACAAAACUAGCACACAAGUAUAUAUAAUUCACUUGAACAUAAUAUUAUGAAGAGGAAUUAAGAAAAUUCAAAGUCUAAAGGUUAAUUAUUACUAGUCCACUCAAAAUAAAGUAAGUUAAAAAGCCAUAUAGAAUAACUAGAUAGUUAAAAAAUAUAUAAACAAAAAUAUAUUAAGAACAAAUAUAUCAAAAUUCUACUUGAAUUGCAAUAAACAACUAGCUAGUUACAAACAAAUAAUAUAUAGAACAAAUAUAUUAAGAUUCAUAAAACAAAAAUCGAAGAAAUUAAAUAUAUUAAGAUUCUACUUAUAUUGCAAUAAAAAAAUAAAAAUAAAACAAAUAUACUAUGAUUCAAAGCGGCUAAAGGAUGAGCGUAAAACUUACCUCGCCGGAAGAUAACCACGCCCAGACACCGUAGUUGCUGGACGCCGGAGUUGCUGCCUGAAAAAGAAAAAAAAUUAAGAUGGGGUUCAAAUACAUGAAAUCUGGCCGCGAGAAAGGGAGGAGGGAGAGAGAUAGGGAGGAGGAAGAGAGUGGUUCUCAUAGCCGGAAUUUGAUACUCAAAGCAGACCGCCGGUGAUGGAGGAGAAAGAAAGGAAGAAAAGAGAAAGAGGAGGAGAAAAGAAGAAAUGGGUCCGGGGGAGAGUUUUAAAUUAAAUUUCUGACCGAUUUAGCAGGGAAAAAAAGUAAAAUUAAAAUAAUAAUAAA